CCUACGGGUGGCAGCAGUGGGGAAUAUUGCACAAUGGGGGAAACCCUGAUGCAGCGACGCCGCGUGAGUGAAGAAGUAUUUCGGUAUGUAAAGCUCUGUCAGCAGGGAAGAAAAUGACGGUACCUGACCAAGAAGCCCCGGCUAACUACGUGCCAGCAGCAGCGGUAAUACGUAGGGGGCAAGCGUUAUCCGGAUUUACUGGGUGUAAAGGGAGCGUAGACGGCAGGGCAAGUCUGGAGUGAAAGGCGGGGGGUCAACCCCCGGACUGCUCUGGAAACUGCGAGGCUGGAGUGGAGGAGAGGUAAGUGGAAGUCCUAGUGUAGCGGUGAAAUGCGUAGAUAUUAGGAGGAACACCAGUGGCGAAGGCGGCUUACUGGACUGUAACUGACGUUGAGGCUCGAAAGCGUGGGGAGCAAACAGGAUUAGAUACCCCAGUAGUC
rnacentral:rRNA from 1 species